GGGGGAAAAGGGUAAAUAUUUUGUUUCUGUUUACAAAAGUAUAAUCUGCUAAACUGUUAUGAAUUUCGGAUAGCUGAAGUUAGAAGAGAAAGGGGUUCUUUAUAUACAGAAAAUAGAACAUUAAAGCAUCAGCGAUAGUCCAAACAAAGGCCAUAAUCAUCCUUAAUCAGUUCACGCAGCCCUAUGUAAUUCUUGUUCUGCUUGAUCUUGUGUUAGCCAUCUCAUGAACACAUCGGCUUCUCCAAUAAAGUUCUGGAAAUCCUGACUCAUUUCAGUGGUAUAGUCUCAAAGUUAUUUCAGUAAAUGCCAUUAGGGGUUCUGUGCCCCAGAGUACCUGGCAUAGUCCUUCCUAUGGGACUUCAAGACAGUCCCAUUUUGUUGAAGACAAACACUCUGGCCUGUAGCAGACUGCAAGAGCUUUCAGGGAAGCGUCAAAGUAAAACAACCAUUUAUGGAUGACAAAAGACUUAAAAUGGCCGUGGUGAAAGAUGUGAUGAAAGUUAAUUCUAAAAAUAAUGCAGUUGACAAGGACAUUUGGUUGUUUCUGUGGCAUACAACAUUUUAAAAUAAUAACUGGAAUUAUGACUGAUAGCAUUAUGCUGAUGUUGUGUAAUAUCAGGCAGAGCAGCACCAGGAUAUAUCAUGGACAGCAAGGGCACUGACAUUUCUAGGAACAUAAUACAAUUUCUAAAAUAUUUAUAUUAAUAAUAUUGUACCCAUACAAAUGUAAACUAGAGAAGGUUAAGCAUCUCUUCUUCUUUGACAAUGCUUCCCAAGCAACUCAACAUAACAAACAAACCUAAUUAUUUUUAACAUCUCUCAGUUUAAGGGCGAAAGAAUAAACUCUUUGUGAUUUUCCAGGAGCCCUCUGGAAAGUCUCAAAGUCACUUUGAGGUCAAGAAGGUUUCAUUUGGGACUUGAUUUGGGGAAGACAAAAUAUCACAAGUUGUUAAAAAUGUGAAAAGGUUUGAACACUUGGCUUAAUAGGAUUAUGGGUCACUAAGAAACUAUUUGGCUACCCAUUUAACCAAAGCGACAAUAGAAGAUUUCAAGAGUAAAUGUUAGAAAUAACAUGGUUGAAAACAACAUUAUCUCUUUUAGAAGUGAGAAGACUCAGUUCUCUUACAUAAUAAAAGACAUGAUAAGUCAACAUGAAGCACAGGAAAUUAUCCUGAUAAGACACAGAAUCUGUGCCUUCUAGGCAGGUUACCUAGAAGGUAAGGAAAAACCUUUUACAAUCUCUUAUUAAGAGCAGACCUAAGAAAAUUUUGUCUUAGCAACUUUCAAAUAUGCAAUAGAGUGUUAUUAACUACAGUCGCCAUGCUGUACAUUACAUCCCCAGGACUUAUUUAUUUUGUAACCAGGUGUCUUUUGACCACCUUCACCCAUUUGACCCACCCACCCCCACCUCUGGCAAGCAUCAAUCUGUUCUCCCUAUCUGAGUUCAGGGUUUUGUUUUUUUGUUUGUUUUGUUUUGUUGUUUUAGAUUCCACAUAUAAAUGAGAUCAUACAGUAUUUGCCUUUCUCUGUCUGACUUAUUUCACAUAGUGUAAUGCCCUCAAGGUCCAUCCAGGUUAUUGCAAAUGGCAGAAUUUCCUCCUUUUUUAUGGCUGAAUAAUAUUCCAUUGUGUAUAUAUACCACAUUUUCUUUAUCCAUUCAUACAUUGAAACUAAUAUAACGUUAAUAUUCUCAUAAUCAGGAACGUGCUCACACGGAUACUCACACACAAACACGCUUACAUCCACCGUAAAGCUCAAACAUUCAUAAAAGAAAAUACAUUCACAUGCACUUACACUCACAUUUCAUUCCACAAAUAUACUCACAUAUUAACUAGCUCACAGCAACGAACCCAAUACAUAUUUGCUCAUUCACAGGAACAUGCUAAUGUCCAUGCAGCUCCUCACGGCAGUGGAUCAGCAGGCAAAGAAAGGAGUUUCUAUAGUAGUGGGGCAAGCUGAUCCUGAUUACCAUGCAGAGAUGUGAGCUGUUGCUAUGUAAUGGGGAUAGGGAGAAGUAUGUCUGAACUCAGAGGAUUCAUCAGGAAUUCUUUCCGUGCUUCUCCUCCAGUAACAAUGGUAAAUGGAAUCAGUAUUAAUUAGCUGUUGAUUUCUUUAUAAUUUUAAGAAUUGUUUACACUCGAGAUCUUGGCUAAGUGGGGCUGAAUGCAACAAAAAGUCUUGGGCUGUUGACUCAGAAAUAACUCUAGGAAGCCUGCUUUUUAAGGUCUAUCACGCUUAGCCUGGUCCUUUAAAAGAAGCAUCUCUCUUUCUUUAUUAAUUCUUUGGAGGCUUGGGGUGAAUUCAGCAGUGCUUAUUAAACACCUUCCUGAGAGAAGUCAAGAUGGUGGCAUAAGCAGACUCUGAACUCACCUCCUCCUGCGGACACAGCCAAUUUACAACUACUCAUGGAAAAAUUACCCCUGAAGGAGAACUGAAAACUGGAUAAGAGGAACUCCUGCAACAAAGGACAAUCCCAAUUGAGGUGGAAGAGGCAGAAACUCCCGUCUGGAGAGGAAAAACGCCACCUUGACAAGCUGCCAGCUUCACAGCCACCCAGGAGCAGCCUAAAGGUUUUUACUAUCCCUGAAAUCUGAACUAUUUAAUUUUUUAUGACUCUGUCCCUGUUGGCGUGAGCCAUCUCCAGGUGGAAAUCAGGUAACAAUUCACCCUGUGUAGCAGGAUGCCUCCAUAUUGGAACACUUUAGUUUUGCCAGCAAUGGUAGAAUUAAAAGGACAGGACAUGCGUGGGCUUCAAGGGUAACCCAGGACUCGAAGCCCUCAAGGGAAAGGGAGAAAGGAUCCAAACUCUAUAAGCUGAGGGUCUUGAAAAUUCAUUGGACUCCAGGCAUGUCAAUCCUCACCUUUCAGCAAAUCAGCUUAGAGCUCACGAUGGGGGAAGUAGACCUUUGUUGACUCUUCUAAGCUCCGCCUCCUGUCACCCGCCCAUCCGAUUCUUUCCCACCUCGUCCCAUGCCACCUCAGGCGCAGUCAUGGUUGGCUACUCCUCAGACCGCCCCCCUGCCUUUCCUGUAGCGGGGCCCCAAUAGGCAGCGUCACAGACUGUUUUCCCCUCUGCCGCCAUCACCUCCACCGCCCCGACCGCUUCCCGGCAGGCCUUGCUGCCAACAGGCUUCCGUCGGCUGCCAUCACCUUGGUGGCCGCCAUCUUUGCCACCUCUAUCAAGCAGCCAGAUCACUUUCUGGGUUCAGGCACUGCGUGGUGCGUCACUCCCGCCAUGUCUGCCGUAGAGAAGGGAAGCCCAGCCCCAGGUGGCCAAAAUGGAGCCAGUGGUAGGGUGGGCCAGGACCCGGGAUCCACCAGGCCUGCGGAAUGGGGGGCCGGAGUCGCGAGGGCUGCAGACCCUAGGGAUUUCCAGGCAGUCGUGCAAGCCCAUUUGUAGGAGGACGAGGGUGGGCAGGAAGUCCCCCAGCCCAUCGUCGAGGAGGACUGGGAUGUACAGCAGGUAGAAGAGGAGGAGGGUGUGCAAGAAGAGGAGGAGGAAGUUGAAGAGGAGGAGGAGGAUGAAGAGGAGGAUGAAGAUGAGGGAGAGAACGACGAGGAGGAGGGAGAAGCAGAAGGGGAUGAGGACGAGGAAGAGGAGGAGGAAGAAAGCAAUGAGGAAGAGUGUGAGAAUGAUGCGGACAAAGUGGAAGAGGAGGAUGGUUCUCCUGAGGGCAGAGUGCUGGAUGUUGAUACUGAUUUUAAACUGAAAUAUUGUUUCCACGAACUUGUGGUCCCGAAGUCCGUAUCAUUCUUCGCUAAAGAAGCGGCUGAAUGUAAGUAUGAAAACGUUGACGAAGUGGCCCAAGAAGCUGGAGGUGAAGAAGAGGAAGAGGCUGAAUAUGAAGAAAAAGAAGAAGGACUCGAAAUGGACAGGGGCUCAGCAGAGGGCAGCCCCGGAGAAUCCAGAUAUGGAAACUGAAGGUCCAGGAGUAUAAGGGAUUUAUGAUUUGUGCAAAGAGCACAGGGUUUUGAGGUGGAAAGAUUUAUUUAAAUCACAGAGUGGCCUCUCACGAAGAAAACCAAGCAUUUAUAGUGGUGGGCAAGAGGGAGACGAGGUUGGUGUGAUCAAAUGAUUGAAGCAUGUGCACCAUGAUAUCCAAGGGUCUGGGUUAUCAGAAGAAAACAUUUUGUUUUCUCCUUGUCGAGACAACAGAUGUACAUAAGGUUGACUCAUAUUUAAAAAGCCACUGGUGCACAUUGAUGGUAUACAAAUUCUUAAUUGACUCUUAUUCCAUCCUGCAGUUGGAAGGCGUAGAAAGAAAUGGACGGCAACGGAAAAAAUGAAUUUGUUCUUCAUGGAUAUUCUAGUUUGCAGUAGCCCAAAACACCAGUUUUGUUUCAAAGUUCAUCACCCAACAGUGAUGUUAACUGACAUCUGACUUUACUCUUACCUUUUAUGGAUGUAUUUGACAGCAUUUCCUCACUUUAAAAAUAAAAGCUUGUUUG